rnacentral:lncRNA from 1 species
GUUAUUUUAGCCCCCUUCCUAACAGCGACGUAGCCAGACAUUUAUUUCGAGGGGGUUGUAGACCACGCAAAUACAAACUCCUAGUACUCCCCGGACAAAAACGCUUUAACAAUGGGGAUGAACGUUGUGCAGCCACUUCGCAUCAAAUUAUGCUAUCAUCCUUAUGCGAUAUUUAGAAAAUGAUAUU